GACGUAGGGGGCAAGCGUUGUCCGGAAUCAUUGGGCGUAAAGCGCUCGUAGGUGGAUCGGUAAGUCUGCAAAGAAAGACCCGGGCUCAACUCGGGGAACGGUGUGGAUACUACCGAUCUUGAGGCAAUCAGAAGGAUGAUGGAAUUCCCGGUGUAGCGGUGAAAAUGCGUAGAUAUCGGGGAGGAACACCAGUGGCGAAAGGCGAUCAUCUGGGGGUUGUUUCUGACACUGAGGAGCGAAAAGCUAGGGGAGCAAACGGGAU
rnacentral:rRNA from 1 species